rnacentral:rRNA from 1 species
GACGUAGGGUGCGAGCGUUAAUCGGAGUUACUGGGCGUAAAGCGUGCGCAGGCGGCCCGUUAAGACAGGUGUGAAAUCCCUGGGCUCAACCUAGGAAUUGCGCUUGUGACUGGCGGGCUCGAGUACGGUAGAGGGGGGUGGAAUUCCUGGUGUAGCAGUGAAAUGCGUAGAGAUCAGGAGGAACACCGAUGGCGAAGGCAGCCCCCUGGGCCUGUACUGACGCUCAUGCACGAAAGCGUGGGGAGCAAACAGG